AGCUUUUUCAAGGCUGCUCUUUCUUCUGUUCUGCUGCAAGCCACUAAUGCUUCUCCAUUUACUUCCUGUCUUCUGAAAAUUCAUUAAAACUUCUUGUAUGUUGAUGAGGGAACCGAGAUCUGAAGAAGAGAAAUGACCUAUCCAAGUUCCCCCAGCUGGGGCCAGUUCUUCUGUUUCACCUAGAAUUGGAUGUUCCAACUCCUGCCGAGGUCCUCUCUUGGGUCCUGAUUUUCCUUGCAAACUGACCAAAGGAAGCUUCCAGAAGCAACUGUCCACUACAAGAGGAAGGUGUGGCCAUGAGGGAAGACGGAGGCUCCAGAGGUCCUGGCUCUGCAGAGACCGCGGUGCUGCCUCCCAGCCUGCCUGAAACCUGACUUGGUUUGCACCAGCGGGUGCCCAGGCCUCCACAGAGUCUUCGGUUCUCCAGGUUUCCCAUGCCGCCAUUCUUGAUCAGUUUUCAUCUCACCUCUGUGGUUUCUACCUCCUGUAGAUGCUUCAACUCCGCCACUGAAGCCAAUGCUGCCUGCUUCCUCCGGUGACAGCAGCAAAGCAGGCAGCAGUGGCCUUGGAGGCUCUGGCUGGACCCACUGUCAUGCAUUGUCUUCCACGGUUACUCAGGCACCUUUCCUUUACCUGGAAAAUAUCUCUGAGCUCAAACAUUCAACUCACAUCUUGGAGCCAUAACAAAUAAAGGAAGACGGCUUUGGUAACUCAGUAAA
ensembl:lncRNA novel transcript